rnacentral:lncRNA from 1 species
UAUCAACCAGUACUCGGCUUUCUCAAAAGUAGAUGCUCUUGCAAAAAUAGAUAGGUUAAAUAUCUUGUACCUUUCAAUGUAACAUGGGUCCAUCAUGAGCAAAACUAGAUCCUGCUGGAGGGCAAUUGGAUUAUGCUGAGGAGGGAUUGAGUGGCCUUAUAGAGGCACCAAAUUGUAUUAUUGAGGUACUAGAUUGUACUGGGAGAAUA